rnacentral:rRNA from 1 species
AGAGGAAGUAAAAGUCGUAACAAGGUUUCCGUAGGUGAACCUGCGGAAGGAUCAUUACUGAGCUGUCGGCAUGAGCUGUUGCUGGUCCUCAAACCAGGGGGCAUGUGCACGCUCUGUUCACACAUCCACUCACACCUGUGCACCCUCUGUAGUUCUAUGGUCUGGAGGAUGCACCGUCUUCCUUCUGUAGUUCUACGUCUUUACACAUACACCGUAGUGAAGUUUUAUGGAAUGUGUGCCGCGUCUAACGCAAUACAAUACAACUUUCAGCAACGGAUCUCUUGGCUCUCGCAUCGAUGAAGAACGCAGCGAAAUGCGAUAAGUAAUGUGAAUUGCAGAAUUCAGUGAAUCAUCGAAUCUUUGAACGCACCUUGCGCCCCUUGGGUAUUCCGAGGGGCAUGCCUGUUUGAGUAUCAUGAACUCCUCAACUCCUCAUGGUUUGCCGUGAUGAGCUUGGACUUCUGGAGGUUUUGCUGGCCUGUGGUCGGCUCCUCUCAAAUGGAUCAGCUUGCCAGUGUUUGGUGGCGUCAUGGGUGUGAUAACUAUCUACGCUUGUGGCCGUCUGCCAGGUGACCUUCAGCAAUGGAGGUUCGCUGGAGCUCACAAAAGUCUUUCCUCAGUGGAGACAGCUUUUUGAACGUUCG